rnacentral:ncRNA from 2 species
GUAUCUUUGCACCUGCAAGGUUCGUAUUUGGAGUUGUCUAACCUUCCAAAACGAUGAAAAGGGAAUCCGGUGUAAAUCCGGGACAGUACCUGCUGCUGUAAGUCCUCUCUUUCGGGAGAUGAGUUUAUCACAUUCUUUGCCACUGGUGACAUCACUGGGAAGGCGUGAUAAAUGGGGACGAGUCAGAAGACCUGCCUUGACGCUGCAGAUUUA